AUAUCAAUAAGCGGAGGAAAAGAAACUAACAAGGAUUCCCCUAGUAACGGCGAGUGAAGCGGGAUGAGCUCAAGCUUAAAAUCUCCGUGCAAGUUUUGCACGGCGAAUUGUAGUCUAUAGAGGCGUGGUCAGCGUGGGCACUUGGGGCAAGUUCCUUGGAAGAGGACAGCAUGGAGGGUGAUACUCCCGUUCAUCCCUGAGUUGCUCGUGCGUACGACCCGUUUUCUUUGAGUCGCGUUGUUUGGGAAUGCAGCGCAAAGUAGGUGGUAAAUUCCAUCUAAAGCUAAAUAUUGGUGCGAGACCGAUAGCGAACAAGUACCGUGAGGGAAAGAUGAAAAGAACUUUGAAAAGAGAGUUAAAGAGUACCUGAAACUGCUGAAAGGGAACCGAAUCGUUUCCAGUGUCUAUAAUCCGUGGCAUAUUUCAUUGGCGAGUGUGUGCGUGCGUGUGCUGUGGCAGUGGCUUUUUUGGCUGCGCUCGGUGUGUGUGCUGUGUGUGCUUGCUGGUGCCCUGUGCUGCGGUGGGACGUCAAGGUCAGUUCGUAUGCUGCGGGAAAUGGCUGCCGAGGAGGUAGGGCUUACGCUUGCGUUUGUCUGUUAUAUCUUGGUGGACGAGUCGUCGCGGUUGGGACUGAGGUGCCUACAACGUGCUUUUGAGUGGGUUUGUGUCUUCGUGUGCGCCGUGUGCGGAUAGCUUGCUAUGCGUGUGUGGUUGUGUGUGGAUUGAUGCGGGCUUUAACUUGUUGCCGUUCGGGACGUUGACGAAAUGGAGCGAUCCGACCCGUCUUGAAACACGGMCCAAGGAGUCUAACAUGUGU
rnacentral:rRNA from 1 species